UACGAAGGGGGCUAGCGUUGCUCGGAAUUACUGGGCGUAAAGCGCACGUAGGCGGCUUCUUAAGUCGGUGGUGAAAUCCUGGAGCUCAACUCCAGAACUGCCUUCGAUACUGGGAAGCUCGAGUCCGGGAGAGGUGAGUGGAACUGCGAGUGUAGAGGUGAAAUUCGUAGAUAUUCGCAAGAACACCGGUGGCGAAGGCGGCAUCCUGGACCGACACUGACACUGAGGAGCGAAAGCCAGGGGAGCAAACGGG
rnacentral:rRNA from 1 species